rnacentral:lncRNA from 1 species
GACGUUAGCAAUCAUCUCAACAUCCAAGUUGAAAUGUCCAUCACGGCACGUACCCAUAUCACAUGUAUGUUCUUUAAUGUAUCUUCCAACUUUCCACAUGUUAGUAUGUUUAUCAUUAAAAGAAGUUAGCCUAAAUCGACAUCCUUGUUCUACACGCCUGCAAACAAGUCGCCAUGAUUUCUUUGUCGAUUUAAUAACAAAGUACUCCCUCGCUAUCUUUAAAUGUAG